rnacentral:misc_RNA from 1 species
UCGGCUCACUUGAAAUUUAUUAGCUGAAUCCUCUAGUGUUGGUUCUACUCGACGUGAUAAGAUCUCCGUCGAGGACAGUGCUCCUUGUGGGCGUUGGCCACCGCUAGCUGUUGAUACGCUCCUAAUUAGCGCAGACUUCGAGUGCUGGCAACUUUUGACAACUUGGCCUCAAAUCAGGUAGGACUACCCACUGAACUUAA